rnacentral:tRNA from 1 species
GCAGUGGUGGUUCAGUGGCAAAAUUCUCACCUUCCAUGAGGGAGGCCUGGGUUUGAUUCCCGGCCAAUGCA